AUUGCUUCUUGGCCUUUUGGCUAAGAUGAAGUGUAGUAUCUGUUCUUAUCAGUUUAAUAUCUGAUACAUCCUCUAUCUGAGGACAAUAUAUUAAAUGGAUCUUUGGAGCAGGGAGAUGGAAUAGGAGCUUGCUCUGUCCACUCCGCGCAUCGACUUGGUAUUGCAGUACCUCCAGGAACGGUGCACCCCCU
ensembl:snRNA U2 U2 spliceosomal RNA